rnacentral:rRNA from 1 species
CCCUUAGAUGUUCUGGGCUGCACACGUGCUACACUGGCAGGUUCAGCGAGCUUCAUGCCCUGAUCUGAAAGGAAUGGGAAAUCUUUUCAAAACCUGCCGUGCUUGGGAUAGAUGUUUGCAAUUAUUCAUCUUCAACGAGGAUUGCCUUGUAAGCGCACGUCAUCAGCGUGCAUUGAAUACGACACUGUAUUCUGUACACACCGCCCGUCGCUCCUACCGAUUGAAGUUUUCGGUGAGUUGACAGGAGGAUUUUUUUGAAACUGGUUCGCCAGUGGAUUUUAGAUCCAAAUGCCAACGAAUCGAUGGCUUUAGAGGAAGGAGAAGUCGUAACA